UACGUAGAGCGCAAGCGUUAUCCGGAAUUAUUGGGCGUAAAGAGCUCGUAGGCGGUUUGUCGCGUCUGCCGUGAAAGUCCGGGGCUCAACUCCGGAUCUGCGGUGGGUACGGGCAGACUAGAGUGAUGUAGGGGAGACUGGAAUUCCUGGUGUAGCGGUGAAAUGCGCAGAUAUCAGGAGGAACACCGGUGGCGAAGGCGGGUCUCUGGGCCGAAACUGACGCUGAGGAGCGAAAGCAUGGGGAGCGAACAGG
rnacentral:rRNA from 1 species